ACAGCAGUAGCCGCGGUAAUACGAAGGGUGCAAGCGUUAAUCGGAAUUACUGGGCGUAAAGCGUGCGUAGGCGGUGAGUUAAGUCUGCUGUGAAAUCCCCGGGCUCAACCUGGGAAUGGCAGUGGAUACUGGCUCGCUAGAGUGUGUCAGAGGAUGGUGGAAUUCCCGGUGUAGCGGUGAAAUGCGUAGAGAUCGGGAGGAACAUCAGUGGCGAAGGCGGCCAUCUGGGACAACACUGACGCUGAGGCACGAAAGCGUGGGGAGCAAACAGGAUUAGAUACCCCCGUAGUCCCUGUCUCUUAUAC
rnacentral:rRNA from 1 species